CGGCAAGUACGCCCCCUAUGCCGUUGAUAAACAUAUCAUUCGAGAGCACGUGACUAGGUGGAGUCAGAUCUCUGGACAAAUGAACUCUAUAGAUCCUGGGACUAUCUCUUCACUGUUGAAGAGUUCUCCUCACCUACUAAUUUUUCUACCGCUUGUUCGAGCACGCCGUCUGAUGUUCUGUAAUAGUUUUCCACUUUCUGGAUGACGUGGUCGACACACUUCUUUCAUUUCGCUGCCAUCACAUUUUCAACGCUUUCUCUGGCCAGUUUGAAUGGCAGAAAACGGUUGAACAGGACGGACCUUGACGUACUACAGUAGAUAGAUAGUAGGCAGUGAGGGCUGGCUAGCAACCAGUACUCUAAAUGCUCAUUUAUCGAUUGUUAGUAUUACAAUCCAGGAUGAUAGCAAUAUUGUUGUUUUCGCCCUAUAUGCCUUUAAUAUAUCUGGUAACCACA